rnacentral:rRNA from 1 species
GACGCUCUCCCCAAGGACGAAGCCAUGCAUGCCCGCUCACCCGGGACGCGGCGGACGGCUCAGGACAACGGUUGCACCCCCCGCGGCGGUCCCUGCUAGCCGGACACCGCUGGCAACCCGGCGCCAAGACGUGCGCGCAAGGGCGGGCGCCCGCGGGCGAGCAGCGUGACGCAGCGACGGCCCG